AGCACCUCCAUUCAAUCCCUCCUCAGGAGCUGACGAGCCCUGCACUGCUUGUGCACCACUCCUGAACUCCUGCCCACCAAGAUGUCCUGCCAGCAGAGCCAGCAGCAGUGCCAGCCCCCUCCCAAGUGCCCCACCCCUAAAUGCCCCCCAAAGUGUCCUCCAAAGUGCCCUCCAGUCUCUUCCUGCUGUGGUGUCAGCUCUGGGGGCUGCUGUGGCCCCAGCUCUGGGGGCUGCUGCAGCUCUGGGGGUGGUGGCUGCUGCAGCUCUGGGGGUGGCGGCUGCUGCCUGAGCCACCACAGGUGCCGCAGGUCCCACCGCCGCAGACACCAGAGCUCUGACUGCUGCAGCCAGCCCUCAGGGGGCUCCAGCUGCUGCGGAGGGGGGAGCGGGCAGUCCUCUGGAGGCUGCUGCUGAAGUGGACCCUGACCUUCUCUUCCCUCUGAGCUCUUUGAAUGGCAGAGAGGUCCCAGUAAAACUUGAGCUUUUACCUAGAGGAUCCCUCCACCCUGGUGUCCAGAAGCCCAAAACCUCUCUCUAAAAUCCAGUUACUGGCCUCCUUCCCCAUGUCUGUGGCUGCCCUGGAAAUCCCAAAGCACAGACCCCAUGUCACUACACAGCUUAUGUUAUUGUAUUGUGCCACCUGAACUGAAACAAUAAAUACAGAAGCUGCUCACUAA